rnacentral:rRNA from 1 species
ACGGGCGGGGCGAGCGUUGUUCGGAUUCAUUGGGUGUAAAGGGUGCGAAGGCGGUCGUCUAAGUCGAAGGUGAAAUGUCUACGGCUCAACCGAGGCAUUGCCUCCGAUACUGGACGACUUGAGUGCGGAAGGGGAGCGUGGAAUUCCUGGUGUAGCGGUGAAAUGCGUAGAGAUCCGGAGGAACACCAGAGGCGAAGGCGACACCCUGGGCCGUACCUGACGCUAAGACGCGACAGCACGGGGAGCGAACGG